rnacentral:rRNA from 1 species
GACGAACGCUGGCGGCGUGCUUAACACAUGCAAGUCGAGCGGUAAGGCCCUUUCGGGGGUACACGAGCGGCGAACGGGUGAGUAACACGUGGGUGACCUGCCCUCAGCUCUGGGAUAAGCCUGGGAAACCGGGUCUAAUACUGGAUAUGACUCCAUGACGCAUGUUGUGGGGUGGAAAGCCUUGUGCGGCUGAGGAUGGGCCCGCGGCCUAUCAGCUUGUUGGUGGGGUGAUGGCCUACCAAGGCGACGACGGGUAGCCGGCCUGAGAGGGCGACCGGCCACACUGGGACUGAGACACGGCCCAGACUCCUACGGGAGGCAGCAGUGGGGAAUAUUGGGCAAUGGGCGCAAGCCUGACCCAGCGACGUCGCGUUGGGGAAGAAGGCC